CGUAACAAGGUUUCCGUAGGUGAACCUGCGGAAGGAUCAUUACCGAGUU
rnacentral:rRNA from 1 species